AGUGAACGCUGGCGGUAGGCCUAACACAUGCAAGUCGAACGGCAGCACAGUAAGAGCUUGCUCGUACGGGUGGCGAGUGGCGGACGGGUGAGGAAUACAUCGGAAUCUACUUUUUCGUGGGUGAUAACGUAGGGAAACUUACGCUAAUACCGCAUACGACCUACGGGUGAAAGCAGGGGAUCUUCGGACCUUGCGCGAUUGAAUGAGCCGAUGUCGGAUUAGCUAGUUGGCGGGGUAAAGGCCCACCAAGGCGACGAUCCGUAGCUGGUCUGAGAGGAUGAUCAGCCACACUGGAACUGAGACACGGUCCAGACUCCUACGGGAGGCAGCAGUGGGGAAUAUUGGACAAUGGGCGCAAGCCUGAUCCAGCAAUACCGCGUGGGUGAAGAAGGCCUUCGGGUUGUAAAGCACUUUUGUUGGGAAAGAAAAGCAGCAGGUUAAUACGCCGCUGUUAUGACGGUACCCAAAGAAUAAGCACCGGCUAACUUCGUG
rnacentral:rRNA from 1 species